AUGAAUUUGCUAAGUUGGAAGUGCCGGGGAGGGGGGAAUUCUCGGACAGUUCGCAAGAUUGUGACCCUAGUGAAGUCGCAUUCCCCAGUCUUGUGUUUUUUGUGUGAAACUAGGCAGAAGGAAGGUAGAAUGAGAAGAAUUCGUGGUGGGCUCGGUCUUAACGGAUUUGCAAGUGUGGAUAGUAAUGGUAUGGGUGGAGGUUUCUCUCUAUUUUGGCAUGAAUCUUGUACGGUGGACAUAAUUGAUAAAGAGGAUCGGUACUGUCGGCGUUCUGGGUACCAGGGUACCCAGACUUACCUACCUGCGGCCCAUGGCGUGGCUCCAUCGACGACCUGGUACGACCCAUCUUCAGCGUCAACAAGACAAGAUCCUCGCAAGGGGCCAAGCCUCACGAGGCGGACGACACCAAGACCUCCGGAAGGAGCGGCCUCCCCAGGUGGCCUCCUAAGGAGUGGAGAUUCCUAUGCAAGCUCUCACCUCAUGAGGCUGAGGUGUAACGCCCACGAUGCGGCUAUAUCUCCCACGUGUUGA
rnacentral:rRNA from 1 species